CAGCCGCCGCGGUAAUACGGAGGGGGCUAGCGUUGUUCGGAAUUACUGGGCGUAAAGCGCACGUAGGCGGCUUGGUAAGUUAGAGGUGAAAGCCCAGGGCUCAACCCCGGAAUUGCCUUUAAGACUGCAGAGCUAGCAGGUGAGAGAGGUGAGUGGAAUUCCGAGUGUAGAGGUGAAAUUCGUAGAUAUUCAGAAGAACACCAGUGGCGAAGGCGGCUCACUGGACGACUGUUGACGCUGAGGUACGAAAGCGUGGGGAGCAAACAGGAUUAGAUACCCGCGUAGUCCUGUCUCUUAUACC
rnacentral:rRNA from 1 species